rnacentral:rRNA from 1 species
GCGUGAGUGAAGAAGGCCUUAGGGUUGUAAAACUCUUUCACUGAUGAAGAUGAUGACGGUAAUCAGAGAAGAAGCCCCGGCUAACUCCGUGCCAGCAGCCGCGGUAAUACGGAGGGGGCUAGCGUUGUUCGGAUUUACUGGGCGUAAAGCGCACGUAGGCGGCGUAGUAAGUUAGAGGUGAAAGGCCUGGGCUCAACCUAGGAACUGCCUUUGAUACUGCUAUGCUUGAGUUCGGAAGAGGGUAGUGGAAUUCCAAGUGUAGAGGUGAAAUUCGU